rnacentral:rRNA from 1 species
AUUGAACGCUGGCGGCAGGCCUAACACAUGCAAGUCGAACGAGUGGCGGACGGGUGAGUAAUGUCUGGGAAACUGCCCGAUGGAGGGGGAUAACUACUGGAAACGGUAGCUAAUACCGCAUACCAUCGGAUGUGCGCAGAUGGGAUUAGCUAGUAGGUGGGGUAACGGCACACCUAGGCGAAGAUCCCUAGCUGGUCUGAGAGGAUGACCAGCCACACUGGAACUUGUACACGGUCCAGGUUCCUACGGGAGGCAGCAGUGUGGAAUAUUGCACAAGAGGCGCAAGCCUGAUGCAGCCAUGCCGCGUGUAUUAAGACGGCCUUCGGUUUGUAAAGUACUUUCAGCGAGGAGGCGUUACUCGCAGAAGAAGCACCGGCUAACUCCGUGCCAGCAGCCGCGGUAAUAC